GUUACCCUACGGGGCGCAGCAGUAGGGAAUCUUCCACAAUGGGCGAAAACCUGAUGGAGCAACGCCGCGUGGGUGAAGAAGGUCUUCGGAUCGUAAAACCCUGUUGUUAGAGAAGAAAGUGCGUGAGAGUAACUGUUCACGUUUCGACGGUAUCUAACCAGAAAGCCACGGCUAACUACGUGCCAGCAGCCGCGGUAAUACGUAGGUGGCAAGCGUUAUCCGGAUUUAUUGGGCGUAAAGAGAACGCAGGCGGUCUUUUAAGUCUGAUUUGAAAGCCUUCGGCUUAACCGGAGUAGUGCAUUGGG
rnacentral:rRNA from 1 species